GCGGCAGGCUUAACACAUGCAAGUCGAGGGGCAGCGGGGAGGAAGCUUGCUUUCUCCGCCGGCGACCGGCGCACGGGUGAGUAACACGUAUGCAACCUGCCCCUGUCAGGGGGACAACCCGCCGAAAGGCGGGCUAAACCCGCGUACAUGCCACCGGGGCAUCCCGGAGGCAGGAAAGGCUUCGGCCGGACAGGGAUGGGCAUGCGGCGCAUUAGGCAGUAGGCGGGGUAACGGCCCACCUAACCGACGAUGCGUAGGGGUUCUGAGAGGAAGGUCCCCCACACUGGUACUGAGACACGGACCAGACUCCUACGGGAGGCAGCAGUGAGGAAUAUUGGUCAAUGGUCGGGAGACUGAACCAGCCAAGCCGCGUGAGGGAGGAAGGUACAGAGUAUCGUAAACCUCUUUUGUCAGGGAACAAAGACUGGGACGCGUCCCCGGAUGAGUGUACCUGAAGAAAAAGCAUCGGCUAACUCCGUGCCAGCAGCCGCGGUAAUACGGAGGAUGCGAGCGUUAUCCGGAUUUAUUGGGUUUAAAGGGUGCGCAGGCGGUCUGUUAAGUCAGCGGUCAAAGCCCGGGGCUCAACCCCGGCCCGCCGUUGAAACUGGCAGUCUCGAGUUGGAGAGAAGUAUGCGGAAUGCGCGGUGUAGCGGCGAAAUGCAUAGAUAUUGCGCAGAACUCCGAUUGCGAAGGCAGCAUGCCGGCUCCACACUGACGCUGAGGCACGAAAGCGUGGGUAUCGAACAGGAUUAGAUACCCUGGUAGUCCACGCAGUAAACGAUGAAUGCUGGCUGUCCGGGGGGACUGACCCCUGGGUGGCGAAGCGAAAGCGAUAAGCAUUCCACCUGGGGAGUACGCCGGCAACGGUGAAACUCAAAGGAAUUGACGGGGGCCCGCACAAGCGGAGGAACAUGUGGUUUAAUUCGAUGAUACGCGAGGAACCUUACCCGGGCUCAAACGGGGAGUGCCGCAGGCAGAGACGCCUGUUUCCCACGGGACACUCCCCGAGGUGCUGCAUGGUUGUCGUCAGCUCGUGCCGUGAGGUGUCGGCUUAAGUGCCAUAACGAGCGCAACCCCCGCGUGCAGUUGCUAACAGAUAACGCUGAGGACUCUGCACGGACUGCCGGCGCAAGCCGCGAGGAAGGCGGGGAUGACGUCAAAUCAGCACGGCCCUUACGUCCGGGGCGACACACGUGUUACAAUGGGUGGUACAGCGGGAAGCCAGGCGGCGACGCCGAGCGGAACCCGAAAUCCACUCUCAGUUCGGAUCGGAGUCUGCAACCCGACUCCGUGAAGCUGGAUUCGCUAGUAAUCGCGCAUCAGCCAUGGCGCGGUGAAUACGUUCCCGGGCCU
rnacentral:rRNA from 1 species